UCACGUCAUUCUGGAUGUGCUGAUGCCGGUGGCUCAUUUGGCUUCAGUGAAUCUUUGAGUACAGAAAGUGUCUCCAUGAGUUAGAAGCAGAAGGUCUGUUCAUUGAUGGACCAGCAGACGCUGGUUCAGUAAGCAGGUGGUCACAUAUAACUACUCCAGGAAGGACGGUUGAUUGAAAGAAAUAAAAGAGAAGGUGACAAACCUCACUGCUCUUCUGAAUGUGGCAAACAAUUAUCAGGCAAGAGUGCCCUUUCAAGGCACAAAAAAAAAAAAAAUCAUAUGAGAAAGAAGCCCUAUUGCUGUCCUGAAUGUGGCAAAGAGUUUUCUCAAAAGAGCCAACUACAGGGACACCAAAGUAUUAACGCAGGAGAGAAGCCUUAUUGCUGUCCUGAAUGUGGCAAGUGGUUUUCUGAAAAAAGCCAGAUCUGGAGGCACCAAACAAUUCACACAGGAGAAAUUGCUGUUCUGUUUGUGGCAAACG